GCAUGCUUACAUCAUAGCAUUAACACAUCGGAUCCCAUUAGAAAUCUACAGUUAAGUGCGCUCAGGCUAGAGUAGUAUUGGGAUGAGUGACCUCCCGGGAAGUCCUUGUGUUUCACAUUCC
rnacentral:rRNA from 1 species